rnacentral:rRNA from 1 species
UUGAACGCUGGCGGCAGGCUUCACCCAUGCCAGUCGAGCGGAGAUGAGGUGCUUGCACCUUAUCUUAGCGGCGGACGGGUGAGUAAUGCUUAGGAAUCUGCCAUUUAGUGGGGGACAACAUUCCGAAAGGAAUGCUAAUACCGCAUACGUCCUACGGGAGAAAGCAGGGGAUCUUCGGACCUUGCGCUAAAUGAUGAGCCUAAGUCGGAUUAGCUAGUUGGUGGGGUAAAGGCCUACCAAGGCGACGAUCUGUAGCGGGUCUGAGAGGAUGAUCCGCCACACUGGGACUGAGACACGGCCCAGACUCCUACGGGAGGCAGCAGUGGGGAAUAUUGGACAAUGGGGGGAACCCUGAUCCAGCCAUGCCGCGUGUGUGAAGAAGGCCUUAUGGUUGUAAAGCACUUUAAGCGAGGAGGAGGCUACUGAGACUAAUACUCUUGGAUAGUGGACGUUACUCGCAGAAUAAGCACCGGCUAACUCUGUG